UUGUUUUGUAAAUCUUUUCUUUGGAAAUUUUUGGAAGUUCCCAACAAUCAAUUGCUUUAUCAAAGUUCUCAAUAAUGAAUUCUUCUGAACUCACAACAUGCUUUGACUCACUAGUCUUUCCGGAAGAAGAGCUAGAAAAGGACGAUGUUCUACAGAUUGGAGGAUCCAUGGUCAAGACCUUAUGGUCUAUUUUUGGUUUGGUCAAAAUGGCUACAGGUAUGGAUUUACAGCCCUCAGCGGAAUCCUUAUCCUAAAACGGGACUUACAACCAGUAAAAAUUCACCACAAAACAAAACUUCAAAAUAAAACACAAGAUUUUAAACACGAAACUCUAAACAGUAAAACACUUUCCUCCCCUUGGCUCUGAUACCAGAAGGAAAUAGGAAAGUGUUUUACUGUUUUGGGCUUAAUAUAUUAUCCCAGUACUGGAACUGGGGCCCGCACCCUUGUGGUGACUCCUGUAAGGCCGAUGUGGGGUCACGAUGUCGUGGCAUAACGUGGAGACGUUACCUGGUUUGGUCCGGGUGGUGCUUAAGUAUAAAGUAGCGCAUUCUCCUAACAGCUUAAGCUUUUAGGGCGAGUGGUAAGCGCCUUAAGUGGUAUCAGAGCCAGCCAGGGUUCGAAACUCGGGGGGGAGGAAUGGGCUUAAUAUAUUAUCCCAGUACUGGAACUGGGGCCCGCACCCUUGUGGUGACUCCUGUAAGGCCGAUGUGGGGUCACGAUGUCGUGGCAUAAUGUGGAGACGUUACCUGGUUUGGUCCGGGUGGUGCUUAAGUAUAAAGUAGCGCCUUCUCCUAACAGCUUAAGCUUUUAGGGCGAGUGGUAAGCGCCUUAAGUGUGGUGGCAAUUUUUACGAAAACACAUCCAUCCUUCGAUCCUAUUUCCUUCUGGUAUCAGAGCCAAGGGGAGGAAAGUGUUUUACUGUUUAGGUGAUUCUUUGAAAUUCUGAGGGUGCAUUUUUCAAACCAAAAGGCAUUACUGUCCAUUCGUAUUGUCCAAAAGGAACAGUAAAAGCUGUUUUAUAUCGAUCUUUAGGGUGAAUUUGUAUUUGCCAAAAACCAGACUUCAUAUCAAAUUUAGAAAAAAUGAAAGCUGAACAAAGUUUUUGGAGUAAAUCUUUUUUAUUAGGUAUUGGGUACCUAAUCCAUUUUAAAGCUUUAUUCAAAGGUUUGUAGUUUAUCACAAGUCUAGGUACGCCUCUUUCAAUUUCAGAAUUUUUAUUUACGUAAAAAGCAGCACAAGACCAAGGUGAUCUGGAUUUUACAAUGAGUCCUUUAGUUUCAAGGUCAAUUAUUUCAUUUUUACAAUGUUGUUCCAAUUCCAUAUUCAUUUGGAUUGGACGGGCUUUAGUAGGUAUCUGUUUCUCAUCAAAAGAACUUUCAUAAGGCAAAUCCACUAAAUGCUGUUUUCGGUUCCAAAAAGCAGAUGGUAAAUCGGCACAUAUUUCUUUUUCAAUAAGGCUUUUGAAAUCGGAGAUUUUUCUUUGUAUAAAGUCAUUUUGUAAUUGACUUCCAAUUCUUUGGAAAUUCAAAUCUUUUUGUAAACAAAAUAAAUCAUCAUGUUUGGACUUAUGAAUGGCAUUAAUUUUGUUUUGGUAAACAGAACAAGCUUUGACAAUGUUUAAAUUCCUUGUUUUAGAUUUUUCAAUAAAAGGAAAAACAAGUUUCUUGUUUUUUACUUUGAAGGAUAUACUAUCAUAAUUGACAGUAUAUGGAGUUAUAAGAUUUAUAAAAGGAGUUCCCAAAAUGAUGGCAUGAUGAAUAUCAUUUGUGAGGACAAAAGAUGUUUUAAAAUCAAAACCAUUAUUAUGGAUUGAGGCUUCAACCUUGGAACUGACAUUCAGUUUGGAAUUAUUAGCGGCAGAAAGUCUUUCUCUUGUUUUUUCAUGAAAUCUUUUGGGGACGAUGUCUUCUCUAAUGCAAUUUAAAUCGGCGCCAGUGUCAAAAAGGGCAAUGGCGUCCAUUGCAAAAUCAUCAGAAAAGAUUAAAGUGACUUUAACCAAAUACUUUCUUGUGGUGAUUUGCUUUAAAACAAAUAGGAAAUCAUUGGGUACUGACUCAAUGUUUUCUACUUUAAUGUCAUCACCAUCAUCAGGAUUAGAUUCAUUGUCUGAAUUAUCCUGCAAUUGUUUUUGUAAAAGAAGUUGGAUAGUAUCAGAAUCACUUUUUUGUUUUUCUUUUAAAUCUCUGAUUUCACAUUUGAUUUCUUUUAUCUCUUUCUGAAGAUCUUGGAUAUUAGGAACCGUCUUCUUUGUUUUCUUUUUAUCCAAAAUUUGAGUAAGAUCAUAAGAAUUCUUUUUAACAAUUGGGACUUUAGAAGUCUCGGCUUUAUUAAAAUCCAAAGUUUUCAAAAGUUUAUCAAGAUAUUCUUUUUGAAGAUUUGGAUCAGAAAUAUGCUUUACAAGUCAAGAAAAGUUUCUUGGUCUUUAGUCAAAACAUUGAUUUUCUUUAAAUAUGAAUCAGAUUCAGAUUCACUACUGCUAGAUACAGAGUCAUCUGAGUCAAAGAGCUCAUCAACUUGAUAUGGAUCACUGUCUCCCGACAUGGAAGAUUCGGAAUUAGAAGAUUCGACAAGAAGGGGGGCUAAUUUGGAAAGGAUCUCUUCAGCGAGGUCAAGUUCAUGAAGCUUUUUGUUCAUCCUGCAAUAAUUUGCAGUAUGACCUUUCAUGCCACAUUUAUGACAUAUAGCUUCUUUGUAAUUGAAAGGGGUCUUUGGUUUGGCUCUAAACUCUUUUCUUUUAGAGAAUUUGGGUUUCUUAUAAGGCCUCGAAGGUUUCUUAUAAGGAAGUUCUCUAAAAUUACGGAAGGGUUUCCUAAAAUUUUUUGAUUUGUAAUGUCUCCUGCGGGGUUUAGUAGAACACUCGCCAUUACAAUCUUUGGAGAUAGAAGUUUUAAAGGGGUCAUAAUUGAAUUGUUUACAGAAACUGCCUAAUUCUUGUUUAGACUUCUUAAGCUCCCACUUAAGUCGUUUCUGUAAUUUCAAAUCUUGACAAAUCUUUAAUCCUUCUUUAUUGACAAAACUGACGAGUUCACCAUAGGUGAGCUCAUCAUAAGGAAUACGGUUAUCAUAAAGGGCUUUAAUGGAAUUUCUUACCUUUUCACCUAGAAGAGUAGGUAAUCCAGCGAGAAAUUUUUCUUUCCAAGUUAUAUGAUUUGCAUCAUCCCUUAGAAAUAGUCUGGUAAAGAAUGAGGUUUUGUAACAUUGAAAUUCACUAAGUUUCCUACAUCUUAAAUUAUGUAGUAACUCAGCGUUUUUAUCACGAAGGUGUGAAGGGUCACCAAUGAAAUGGAGGGAAAUGGUUAAAAUUAGAGUAGCAACAGCAUCCUGAAUUGGAUUGUUGAACUCAUCAAGAAUAGGGACUCCAUUUUCAUCGGCUUGAAUGGAAUUUAGAAUGUCUAAUUGUUGCUGAUUAGUGAGAAGAUGAUCCCACCAACCUUUUAAUUGACCAGUAAAACCGGCAAUGAGGAUUUCUGAUAUAGCACGAUCAGAAGUUCCUGCUUGGGUUUUAUAGGCAUUGGCUGCCAUAGUCAUUUGUUGCAACAAUCCUAGGAUAUUGUAUUCAGACAUGCCGUCAAUAUUCCACUCAUAGACUGAAGAUGCAUUAUAUCGGGAUUGAUUUAAUGCACUUGGUCUAUUAUCUAUUGCUAGAUCCGGUGGAGUCUUGACAGUGGGAAGGGCUAAUUCCCAAUGAAUUUUGUUGGCUUUAGGAGUAGAAGGUUCUUCUUUGAAGGCUUCUAUAUCAGAAGAGGCUAUAGACAUUUGGUCUUGUUCUAAUACUCCAAUCUUGCUAGAUUGAGGAGUAUCAGGGGCUAUCUGAACUUUGCUAGAUGAGGAAGAAGCAGCUUCUAUCCUAUCUAGUUGUUCUCUUAUGGCUUUAGCAAAAUCUGAUUUCGACUCUUGAACAAGCUUUUGGCUAGUUUUCGAAACCUGAAGGGGUUUGAAAAUAGGUUCCUUAAGCUUUUUGUCAGAAUCCGAUUUUGUUGGAAUAGGAUAAGUUGAUGGAACAGUAAUAGUUGACUUCUGGAUUUGGUUUUCUAUCCUAGUCAACUGUUUUUCGAUUGUAUUUAAGUUAGUAUUAGAGAAAUUAUUCUGUUGGAUAAUACUACUUAAAUUUGCCUCAGAAUCAUUUGGUUUUGGAAUUUUGUAAGGUGAAGCGCGAAUUUGGACAGGAGGUUCACCGUGAUCAACGGUUACACUCCGAAGAGGUGGGUGUUCAGACUCUAUAGUUCUAUCACUAUCAAGAAGUUUCCAUUCAGGAACUUUCUUCCUAAUAGUAAUAGGGUUUGACUCUUUAAAAGGAUAAGAGAUGUUGCUAUCAGAAGAAUAAAUCUCAAACCAAUCAAAAAACAAUAUAUGAAUUUUAUGAAAAUUCACAAAUUCAUAGUAAGUUUGUUGGAUCUCUUUUCUUUGGUUUAAAAAAUGUUUGAAAAACCAAAGUCUUUUUUCUUUGUUUAAAUCAGAAUAAAAAUCAUUAUGCAGAGAAGUUUUAUCUAAUUCAAAUUCCUUUUCAAUGACAUUAAUGACAUUUUCUGUAACAGUAGAAAACGUAGGGGAAGUUGGAGGAGAAGGUUCAUUCUCUUCCUGACUUUGUACAUGUUGAUUACUAGUGUAGAUCGGAUGAGGAACAUUAGUUGUGUAAUCAACUGAUCGGAUGGAGGUACUAGGUAUAUCUGAAGUAGAAAACCUAGGUUGACUUUUUAUGGACUGAAAAGGGAGAUUUAUAACAGAGGGUAUUUUUGUAAAUUUCCUUUCUAAUGAAGGAAUGCUUGAGAACGAUGCUUUAUCAGAAAAUCUGGAUGAGGUAGAUCUUCUGAAUGACAGUUUGACUUUACCAUCGGAAUACUGAGUCACAUUUUGCAACUCUGUAUUAGGCUCAAGUUGUUUCGGAAUCGCUGUUGGAGCGGCUCCUUCAAGAAUCCAUUCCUCUGGAAGAUUUACAUCUUUCCAUUGGAUUGGUUUAGGAAUGACCGUGUUUGCUUUGGACAAAUCAGUCUGCAAGAGAAGGGUCUCAUCUCUUUUCGACUGGUAUUUAUGCUGUGUGCUAAAUGCAGAAAUCAUGGCUUUGUAAGAAAUUUUAAAAAUUAAUGCAACAUGGAUGGAUCCCUUAAUCAUAUGAUAAUUAUGGGUUUUGAUUUGUAAAAUCAUGCUUUUUAAAAUAUUUUUGUCUUUAAGUGAAAUUGUUAUAUUUGGAUAACAAUCAAAAGAUAUGGGACCUUUACAUAGACUAGAUUCGAUACUACUUAGUAAAGAAUCAUCAAAAGAGAUGAAUCGCCCAUCUCUAAGGACAGCAAGGAUAGAAGUAUCCAAGCCUUCUUUGGUCAAAGGUUUUAUUCCUACUUGGAUUAAACCAAUAUGAAUAUAUUUGAAAUUCUUUUCCUUUAAUUUCUUUAAAGAUUUUUCUGAAAACAAAUAAAUUGUUUCAAAAGGCUCUGAAAGAGUUAUAUCACGUUCUUCAGUUUUUAUAAUAUAAUCAUGCUUUAAAAGAUCAAGCAUUUUUGUUUUGUAAAUCUUUUCUUUGGAAAUUUUUGGAAGUUCCCAACAAUCAAUUGCUUUAUCAAAGUUCUCAAUAAUGAAUUCUUCUGAACUCACAACAUGCUUUGACUCACUAGUCUUUCCGGAAGAAGAGCUAGAAAAGGACGAUGUUCUACAGAUUGGAGGAUCCAUGGUCAAGACCUUAUGGUCUAUUUUUGGUUUGGUCAAAAUGGCUACAGGUAUGGAUUUACAGCCCUCAGCGGAAUCCUUAUCCUAAAACGGGACUUACAACCAGUAAAAAUUCACCACAAAACAAAACUUCAAAAUAAAACACAAGAUUUUAAACACGAAACUCUAAACAGUAAAACACUUUCCUCCCCUUGGCUCUGAUACCAGAAGGAAAUAGGAAAGUGUUUUACUGUUUUGGGCUUAAUAUAUUAUCCCAGUACUGGAACUGGGGCCCGCACCCUUGUGGUGACUCCUGUAAGGCCGAUGUGGGGUCACGAUGUCGUGGCAUAACGUGGAGACGUUACCUGGUUUGGUCCGGGUGGUGCUUAAGUAUAAAGUAGCGCAUUCUCCUAACAGCUUAAGCUUUUAGGGCGAGUGGUAAGCGCCUUAAGUGGUAUCAGAGCCAGCCAGGGUUCGAAACUCGGGGGGGAGGAAUGGGCUUAAUAUAUUAUCCCAGUACUGGAACUGGGGCCCGCACCCUUGUGGUGACUCCUGUAAGGCCGAUGUGGGGUCACGAUGUCGUGGCAUAAUGUGGAGACGUUACCUGGUUUGGUCCGGGUGGUGCUUAAGUAUAAAGUAGCGCCUUCUCCUAACAGCUUAAGCUUUUAGGGCGAGUGGUAAGCGCCUUAAGUGUGGUGGCAAUUUUUACGAAAACACAUCCAUCCUUCGAUCCUAUUUCCUUCUGGUAUCAGAGCCAAGGGGAGGAAAGUGUUUUACUGUUUAGGUGAUUCUUUGAAAUUCUGAGGGUGCAUUUUUCAAACCAAAAGGCAUUACUGUCCAUUCGUAUUGUCCAAAAGGAACAGUAAAAGCUGUUUUAUAUCGAUCUUUAGGGUGAAUUUGUAUUUGCCAAAAACCAGACUUCAUAUCAAAUUUAGAAAAAAUGAAAGCUGAACAAAGUUUUUGGAGUAAAUCUUUUUUAUUAGGUAUUGGGUACCUAAUCCAUUUUAAAGCUUUAUUCAAAGGUUUGUAGUUUAUCACAAGUCUAGGUACGCCUCUUUCAAUUUCAGAAUUUUUAUUUACGUAAAAAGCAGCACAAGACCAAGGUGAUCUGGAUUUUACAAUGAGUCCUUUAGUUUCAAGGUCAAUUAUUUCAUUUUUACAAUGUUGUUCCAAUUCCAUAUUCAUUUGGAUUGGACGGGCUUUAGUAGGUAUCUGUUUCUCAUCAAAAGAACUUUCAUAAGGCAAAUCCACUAAAUGCUGUUUUCGGUUCCAAAAAGCAGAUGGUAAAUCGGCACAUAUUUCUUUUUCAAUAAGGCUUUUGAAAUCGGAGAUUUUUCUUUGUAUAAAGUCAUUUUGUAAUUGACUUCCAAUUCUUUGGAAAUUCAAAUCUUUUUGUAAACAAAAUAAAUCAUCAUGUUUGGACUUAUGAAUGGCAUUAAUUUUGUUUUGGUAAACAGAACAAGCUUGACAAUGUUUAAAUUCCUUGUUUUAGAUUUUUCAAUAAAAGGAAAAACAAGUUUCUUGUUUUUUACUUUGAAGGAUAUACUAUCAUAAUUGACAGUAUAUGGAGUUAUAAGAUUUAUAAAAGGAGUUCCCAAAAUGAUGGCAUGAUGAAUAUCAUUUGUGAGGACAAAAGAUGUUUUAAAAUCAAAACCAUUAUUAUGGAUUGAGGCUUCAACCUUGGAACUGACAUUCAGUUUGGAAUUAUUAGCGGCAGAAAGUCUUUCUCUUGUUUUUUCAUGAAAUCUUUUGGGGACGAUGUCUUCUCUAAUGCAAUUUAAAUCGGCGCCAGUGUCAAAAAGGGCAAUGGCGUCCAUUGCAAAAUCAUCAGAAAAGAUUAAAGUGACUUUAACCAAAUACUUUCUUGUGGUGAUUUGCUUUAAAACAAAUAGGAAAUCAUUGGGUACUGACUCAAUGUUUUCUACUUUAAUGUCAUCACCAUCAUCAGGAUUAGAUUCAUUGUCUGAAUUAUCCUGCAAUUGUUUUUGUAAAAGAAGUUGGAUAGUAUCAGAAUCACUUUUUUGUUUUUCUUUUAAAUCUCUGAUUUCACAUUUGAUUUCUUUUAUCUCUUUCUGAAGAUCUUGGAUAUUAGGAACCGUCUUCUUUGUUUUUGAUUUUGAUAUUGAGUUUAUUAAAGGUGACAAAAAUUCUGUUCCUGAUUUUCUAACCAGAGAAUUUCUUCAAAACAGAUAAUGCCGCCAAAGAAGAAAGAUAAGGGUAAAGCAGUUCUCAAAGUUACUGGUUCUCAAGAACCUUCUAAAGAACCCCAGUCAACCCCUUCUAAAGAAAAACUACUUUCUUCUGCCAUGCCCAUUAAAUCUUGGAUAGAAAUGGUUGAAGAACAUGGAGCCCAAUACAAAUCUAUUUCUUCCGAUGACCAAGUAAAGCAAUGGAUGAGUUCCAUUACAAAAUCUCCAGAGCUCAUGCUCGCCCUACAAAACCUUUCUCAAAGCCAAACUUCUCCUAAAAAAGAAAUUGAUAAACCCUCUUCUCAAAAUAUUGUUGUGUCUGCUGAAAGCUCAUCUUCCCAAAUUGUGCUUUCCCAGCCAACACCUUCAAAGAAAACCUCCGAUUGGUUUGAUAAAACCCAUUUUCAAAACAUUCUUUCUAUGGAAGAUGGAUUUUACCAUACUGAUCCUUUUCAAAGCAUUUCAAAGUUUUUUCCCAAAGGCUGGUUUUUCAAACCAUGGGAUUUGACAAAACCCCAGUCUUACUACCAAAGCAUCUUAGAAAUAACUGAAUCCGUUAAAUUCAAGCAUUUCUUUCUUGAUAAAACCCAUUCUGAGCCGGCUUAUUCCACGGCCACAAUCUUAAAAGUUUUGAGCCCAAACUAGUGGGGUGAUCUACUCCACAAUUUUAAAACCUUUCCUUUAAAUUUUGAGACCCGUUUACCACAUUGUCGGACUUUUUCCUACUGGAAUUACCAACAAGCAUGGUAUAACACCUUUUUUUAUCCAAAACCCUAAAAAAUCUCAUUCUUGGUUAUUUUUCUUUAAUCCAAAAAUAACCGUCCAAAGCCUACCUAAUUGGUUUCAUCAUUGGUGGAACUUCUUCGGACCAAUACCUCAAAUCCUAACUCCAAAUGCCACAAAUUGUUUAAACCUCUUUAAAACCCAUUAUACUCCUUCUGACUCAGAGAAAAGAUUUCCCCCCUUUCUCUGUUUCUGUACAAACUUCUUCCUACCAUGGGUUUGGAUGUGGAACCUCCGAUUUCAUACCCAUGAGUCCCAAGUCAUCCUUCAAAGUCAAAUGGUGGUCAAAAUUUGAUGAACAGUCGAAAUUGACUGUUAACAUGAUCAAAGAUUGGCUCUCCUCUAAAAACCUCCUACAACCAACCCUAGAAGCCUCUAAAGCCCAACAGACCUUCCUAACCCAAAAAUCCAAAGCCCAGUCUCUAUUGGCAAGCGCCAAAACUGAAGAUGAAUAUUUUAAAGCCAUGGAACAACUCCUCACCUCAAGAUCAAAAUCCUCAGUUGCAGACUCCUUUGAAGAUGAAGAUAAUGAUGAAGACGAAGAGCCAUUCAUUUCCCUUGGAGACGAAAACGAAGAUGAUUGUUUCGGCAUUUUCUCUCCAGUAAAGCAUUGUAAAUGAUUAUUUGAUUAUUUACUAAAAAAAAAAAAGAAAAAAGAAAAAAAGAAAAAGAGUAUUUUUUAUUUUUCGGGUGGUCCCCUGGACACAAGUGAGAGCGCACAUGUCUCUUCACCCGUAUUGUAUGUCAGUUUGUAUUUUCGUAUCUGUACAAUGAGCCUACUAUUCAAAACUACGAUCCAAAGAUAACUGUGCACUUAAAGUCCCGCUACAGUGAACAGUGCAGAGUUCCAGAUGUUACUGUGCACUUAAAGUCCCGCUACAGUGAACAGUUUAGAGAUUUUUGUAUAUAAACCGAGAGGAAGACUUAGACUCCUCAGGUUUUUCAUUUCUCAUUUCAGAGCUUCUCUCUCUACUUCUCUUCCUUCUCUCUAAAACUCUCUCUCUCUCUCUCUCUGGGAAUAGGAAUCUGGAAUCCGAAGACAAAGAGGAAUUUCUCCUGUCUUCAGAUUAAUUUCCCAUAAUUUCCCUUUCUUCUCUACAAAGAAAAGCAAUCAAUGUAAGCAUUCCAUUUUUAGUUUCAUUAAAGCACUUACAAUUUAAUUUAAAGCCAUUUCAAUUCCAUGUACUUUAAAUUUCUGCAAUUUAAUUUUUUUUACAAUGUUGUUCCAAUUCCAUAUUCAUUUGGAUUGGACGGGCUUUAGUAGGUAUCUGUUUCUCAUCGAAAGAACUUUCAUAAGGCAAAUCCACUAAAUGCUGUUUUCGAUUCCAAAAAGCAGAUGGUAAAUCGGCACAUAUUUCUUUUUCAAUAAGGCUUUUGAAAUCAGAGAUUUUUCUUUGUAUAAAGUCAUUUUGUAAUUGACUUCCAAUUCUUUGGAAAUUCAAAUCUUUUUGUAAACAAAAUAAAUCAUCAUGUUUGGACUUAAGAAUGGCAUUAAUUUUGUUUUGGUAAACAGAACAAGCUUUGACAAUGUUUAAAUUCCUUGUUUUAGAUUUUUCAAUAAAAGGAAAAACAAGUUUCUUAUUUUUUACUUUGAAGGAUAUACUAUCAUAAUUGACAGUAUAUGGAGUUAUAAGAUUUAUAAAAGGAGUUCCCAAAAUGAUGGCAUGAUGAAUAUCAUUUGUGAGGACAAAAGAUGUUUUAAAAUCAAAACCAUUAUUAUGGAUUGAGGCUUCAACCUUGGAACUGACAUUCAGUUUGGAAUUAUUAGCGGCAGAAAGUCUUUCUCUUGUUUUUUCAUGAAAUCUUUUGGGGAUGAUGUCUUCUCUAAUGCAAUUUAAAUCGGCGCCAGUGUCAAAAAGGGCAAUGGCGUCCAUUGCAAAAUCAUCAGAAAAGAUUAAAGUGACUUUAACCAAAUACUUUCUUGUGGUGAUUUGCUUUAAAACAAAUACGAAAUCAUUGGGUACUGACUCAAUGUUUUCUACUUUAAUGUCAUCACCAUCAUCAGGAUUAGAUUCAUUGUCUGAAUUAUCCUGCAAUUGUUUUUGUAAAAGAAGUUGGAUAGUAUCAGAAUCACUUUUUUGUUUUUCUUUUAAAUCUCUGAUUUCACAUUUGAUUUCUUUUAUCUCUUUCUGAAGAUCUUGGAUAUUAGGAACCGUCUUCUUUGUUUUCUUUUUAUCCAAAAUUUGAGUAAGAUCAUAAGAAUUCUUUUUAACAAUUGGGACUUUAGAAGUCUCGGCUUUAUUAAAAUCCAAAGUUUUCAAAAGUUUAUCAAGAUAUUCUUUUUGAAGAUUUGGAUCAGAAAUAUGCUUUACAAGUUCAAGAAAAGUUUCUUGGUCUUUAGUCAAAACAUUGAUUUUCUUUAAAUAUGAAUCAGAUUCAGAUUCACUACUGCUAGAUACAGAGUCAUCUGAGUCAAAGAGCUCAUCAACUUGAUAUGGAUCACUGUCUCCCGACAUGGAAGAUUCGGAAUUAGAAGAUUCGACAAGAAGGGGGGCUAAUUUGGAAAGGAUCUCUUCAGCGAGGUCAAGUUCAUGAAGUUUUUUGUUCAUCCUGCAAUAAUUUGCAGUAUGACCUUUCAUGCCACAUUUAUGACAUAUAGCUUCUUUGUAAUUGAAAGGGGUCUUUAGUUUGGCUUUAAACUCUUUUCUUUUAGAGAAUUUGGGUUUCUUAUAAGGCCUCGAAGGUUUCUUAUAAGGAAGUUCUCUAAAAUUACGGAAGGGUUUCCUAAAAUUUUUUGAUUUGUAAUGUCUCCUGCGGGGUUUAGUAGAACACUCGCCAUUACAAUCUUUGGAGAUAGAAGUUUUAAAGGGGUCAUAAUUGAAUUGUUUACAGAAACUGCCUAAUUCUUGUUUAGACUUCUUAAGCUCCCACUUAAGUCGUUUCUGUAAUUUCAAAUCUUGACAAAUCUUUAAUCCUUCUUUAUUGACAAAACUGACGAGUUCACCAUAGGUGAGCUCAUCAUAAGGAAUACGGUUAUCAUAAAGGGCUUUAAUGGAAUUUCUUACCUUUUCACCUAGAAGAGUAGGUAAUCCAGCGAGAAAUUUUUCUUUCCAAGUUAUAUGAUUUGCAUCAUCCCUUAGAAAUAGUCUGGUAAAAAAUGAGGUUUUGUAACUUUGAAAUUCACUAAGUUUCCUACAUCUUAAAUUAUGUAGUAACUCAGCGUUUUUAUCACGAAGGUGUGAAGGGUCACCAAUGAAAUGGAGGGAAAUGGUUAAAAUUAGAGUAGCAACAGCAUCCUGAAUUGGAUUGUUGAACUCAUCAAAAAUAGGGACUCCAUUUUCAUCGACUUGAAUGGAAUUUAGAAUGUCUAAUUGUUGCUGAUUAGUGAGAAGAUGAUCCCACCAACCUUUUAAUUGACCAGUAAAACCGGCAAUGAGGAUUUCUGAUAUAGCACGAUCAGAAGUUCCUGGUUGGGUUUUAUAGCCAUUGGCUGCCAUAGUCAUUUGUUGCAACAAUCCUAGGAUAUUGUAUUCGGACAUGCCGUCAAUAUUCCACUCAUAGACUAAAGAUGCAUUAUAUCGGGAUUGAUUUAAUGCACUUGGUCUAUUAUCUAUUGCUAGAUCCGGUGGAGUCUUGACAAUGGGAAGGGCUAAUUCCCAAUGAAUUUUGUUGGCUUUAGGAGUAGAAGGUUCUUCUUUGAAGGCUUCUAUAUCAGAAGAGGCUAUAGACAUUUGGUCUUGUUCUAAUACUCCAAUCUUGCUAGAUUGAGGAGUAUCAGGGGCUAUCUGAACUUUGCUAGAUGAGGAAGAAGCAGCUUCUAUCCUAUCUAAUUGUUCUCUAAUGGCUUUAGCAAAAUCUGAUUUUGACUCUUGAACAAACUUUUGGCUAGUUUUCAAAACCUAAAAGGGUUUGAAAAUAGGUUCCUUAAGCUUUUUGUCAGAAUCCGAUUUUGUUGGAGUAGGAGAAAUUGAAGAAAUAGUAAUAGUUGACUUCUGGAUUUGGUUUUCUAUCCUAGUCAACUGCUUUCCGAUUGUAUUUAAGUUAGUAUUACAGAAAUUAUUCUGUUGGAUAAUACUACUUAAAUUUGCCUCAGAAUCAUUUGGUUUUGGAAUUUUGUAAGGUGAAGCUCGAAUUUGGACAGGAGGUUCACCGUGAUCAACGGUUACACUCCGAAGAGGUGGGUGUUCAGACUCUAUAGUUCUAUCACUAUCAAGAAGUUUCCAUUCAGGAACUUUCUUCCUAAUAGUAAUAGGGUUUGACUCUUUAAAAGGAUAAGAGAUGUUGUUAUCAGAAGAAUAUAUCUCAAACCAAUCAAAAAACAAUAUAUGAAUUUUAUGAAAAUUCACAAAUUCAUAGUAAGUUUGUUGGAUUUCUUUUCUUUGGUUUAAAAAGUGUUUGAAAAACCAAAGUCUUUUUUCUUUGUUUAAAUCAGAAUAAAAAUCAUUAUGCAGAGAAGUUUUAUCUAAUUCAAAUUCUUUUUCAAUGACAUUAAUGACAUUUUCUGUAACAGCAGAAAACGUAGGGGAAGUUGGAGGAGAAGGUUCAUUCUCUUCCUGACUUUGUACAUGUUGAUUGCUAGUGUAGAUCGGAUGAGAAACACUAGUGGUGUAAUCAACUGAUCGAAUGGAGGUACUAGGUAUAUCUCGAAGUAGAAAACCUAGGUUGACUUUUUAUGGACUGAAAAGGGAGAUUUAUAACAGAGGGUAUUUUUGUAAAUUUCCUUUCUAAUGAAGGAUUGCUUGAGCACGAUGCUUUAUCAGAAAAUCUGGAUGAGGUAGAUCUCCUGAAUGACAGUUUGACUUUACCAUCGAAAUAUUGAGUCACAUUUUGUAACUCUGUAUUGGGCUCAAGUUAUUUCGGAAUCGCUGGUGGAGCGGCUCCUUCAGGGAUCUAUUCCUCUGGAAGAUUUACAUCUUUCCAUUGGAUUGGUUUAGGAAUGACCGUGUUUGCUUUGGACAAAUUAGUCUGCAAGAGAAGGGUCUCAUCUCUUUUCGACUGGUAUUUAUGCUGUGUGCUAAAUGCAGAAAUCAUGGCUUUGUAAGAAAUUUUAAAAAUUAAUGCAACUGGGAUGGAUCCCUUAAUCAUAUGAUAAUUAUGGGUUUUGAUUUGUAAAAUCAUGCUCUUUAAAAUAUUUUUGUCUUUAAGAGAAAUUGUUAUAUUUGGAUAACAAUCAAAAGAUAUGGGACCUUUACAUAGACUAGAUUCGAUACUACUUAGUAAAGAAUCAUCAAAAGAGAUGAAUCGCCCAUCUCUAAGGACAGCAAGGAUAGAAGUAUCCAAGCCUUCUUUGGUCAAAGGUUUUAUUCCUACUUGGAUUAAACCAAUGUGAAUAUAUUUGAAAUUCGGUAUGAAGCCUAAGGUUCCACAUCCAUACCCAUGGAUAGAAGAAAUUUGUACAGAAACAGAGAAAGGGGGGAAACCUUUUCUCGGAAUCAGAAGGAGUAUAGUGGGCUUUGAAGAGGUUUAAAUAAUGGGUGGCAUUCGGGGUUAAAAUUUGUGGUAUUGGGCCAAAAGUAUUCCACCAAUGAUGGAACCAGUUUGGAAGGCUUUGGACAGUUAUUUUUGGGUUAAAGAAAAAUAACCAAGAAUGAGAUUUUUUUGGAUUUUGGAUAAAAAAGGUGUUAUACCAGACUUGUUGGUAAUCCCAGUAGGAAUAAGUCCGGCAAUAAGUCCGACAAUGGAUGUGGAACCUUAGGCUUCAUCGAGGAUUGAUUCCUAAAACCGUUGACCAAAGAGUGAUUUUAAACAAUUAUUUAAAAACACUUAGGAUUGAUUGCAAAGCUGCAAAACAUGUUUUGAAAAAAGAUGUUCAAAAUAUUGCAUCAAAACAGAUUUUUGCACGAUGGCAAGCCAUUUUAAGUUAAUUUUGAUAUUGAAUAUAUUAAAGGUGAUACAAAUUUUAUUCCUGAUUUUCUAACUCGGGAAUUUCUUCAAAACAGAUAAUGCCGCCAAAGAAGAAAGACAAAGGUAAAGCUGUUUUUAAAGAUUCUAAAUCUAGAGCAACCUCUAAAGAACCCCAAGCUACCCCUUCUAAAGACAAAUUACUUUCCUCAGCCAUGCCUAUUAAAUCUUGGAUAGAAAUGGUUGAAGAACAUGGUGCCCAUUACAAAACCACUUCUUCUGAUGACCAAGUAAAACAAUGGAUGAGUUCCAUUACAAAGUCCCCUGAGCUUAUGCUCGCCUUACAAAACCUUUCCCAAAGCAAGAUUUUCUCAAAAGAAGAAAAAGAAAACCCUAUCUCCAAAGAAAUCUCAAAACCCUCUUCUCAAAAUGUGAUUGUCUCUGGUGAAAGCUCUUCUUCCCAAAUUGUGCUUUCCCAACCAUCACCUUCAAAGAAAACCUCCGAUUGGUUUGAUAAAACCCAUUUUCAAAAUAUUCUUUCUUUAGAAGAUGGAUUUUACCAUGCUGAUCCUUUCCAAGCAAUUUCAAAGUUUUUCCCUAAGGGCUGGUUUUUUAAACCAUGGGAUUUAACAAAACCCCAGUCCUACUAUCAAAGCAUUUAGAAAUCACUGAUUCAGUUAAGUUCAAAUAUUUCUUUCUCAGUGAAUCUUAUUCAGAACCAGCCUAUUUCACGGCUACUAUUUUAAAAGUUUUGAGCCCAAACCAAUGGGGUGACCUACUCCAUAAUUUUAAAACUUUCCCUUUAAAUUUUCAAACACGUUUACCUCAUUGUCGGACUUAUUCCUAUUGGGAUUACCAACAAGCCUGGUAUAACACCUUUUUUCAUCCAAAAUCCAAAAAAAUCCCAUUCUUGGUUAUUUUUCUUUAACCCAAAAAUAACCGUCCAAAGCCUUCCAAACUGGUUCCAUCAUUGGUGGAAUACUUUUGGCCCAAUACCACAAAUUUUUACCCCGAAUGCCACCCAUUGUUUAAACCUCUUCAAAGCCCACUAUACUUGGGCUUAAUAUAUAUCCCAGUCACUGUUACUGGGGCCCGCACCAAUGUUGUGACUCCUAUACACCUACCCCGCGCUUGUGGGGCCGAGAUGGGGCCACGAUGUCGUGGCAUAACGUGGAGACGUUACCUGGUGGUCCUGGUGGCGCUUAAGUAUAAAGUAGCGCCUUCUCCUAACAGCUUAAGCUUUUGGGAUGAAUGGUAAGCGCCUUAAGAUGGUAUCAGUCUCCAUAUACAUCCAACAGCUUAAGCGCCUUAAGAUGCAGCUUUGCAAUCAAUCCUCGAUGAAGAGAUCUUUUCCAAAUUAGCCCCCCUUCUUGUCGAAUCUUCUGAUUCGGAAUCUUCCAUGUCGGGAGACAGUGAUCCAUAUCAAGGUCACCAAU
rnacentral:lncRNA from 1 species